UACGUAGGGUGCGAGCGUUUAAUCGGAAUUACUGGGCGUAAAGCGUGCGCAGGCGGUUCGUUAUGUCCGAUGUGAAAGCCCCGAGCUCAACUUGGGAAUGGCAUUGGAAACUGGCGGGCUGGAGUGUGGCAGAGGGGGGUGGAAUUCCGACGUGUAGCAGUGAAAUGCGUAGAGAUGUGGAGGAACACCGAUGGCGAAGGCAGCCCCCUGGGCCAACACUGACGCUGAGAAGCGAAAGCAUGGGGAGCGAACAGG
rnacentral:rRNA from 1 species